AGUGAACGCUGGCGGUAGGCCUAACACAUGCAAGUCGAACGGCAGCACAGUAAGAGCUUGCUCUUACGGGUGGCGAGUGGCGGACGGGUGAGGAAUACAUCGGAAUCUACUUUUUCGUGGGGGAUAACGUAGGGAAACUUACGCUAAUACCGCAUACGACCUACGGGUGAAAGCAGGGGAUCUUCGGACCUUGCGCGAUUGAAUGAGCCGAUGUCGGAUUAGCUAGUUGGCGGGGUAAAGGCCCACCAAGGCGACGAUCCGUAGCUGGUCUGAGAGGAUGAUCAGCCACACUGGAACUGAGACACGGCCCAGACUCCUACGGGAGGCAGCGGUGGGGAAUAUUGGACAAUGGGCGCAAGCCUGAUCCAGCCAUACCGCGUGGGUGAAGAAGGCCUUCGGGUUGUAAAGCCCUUUUGUUGGGAAAGAAAAGCAGCAGGUUAAUACCCCGCUGUUCUGACGGUACCCAAAGAAUAAGCACCGGCUAACUUCGUG
rnacentral:rRNA from 1 species